rnacentral:tRNA from 1 species
GCGGUAGUAUAUCAAUGGCAGAUAGCGGUUCUUCCAAAUCCGAGGCUGCGGGUUCGAUCCCCGUCUACCGCU